CCCUUAGAUGUUCUGGGCAGCACGCGCGCUACAAUGGUCUUCGCAAACGGAUGCAUUCUCGAAGGAGAAUGCCAAUCUUGGAAUCUAUGCCUUGGUCGGGACAGUUGCUUGCAAUUUUUCGACUCGAACCAGGAAUUCCUUGUAAUCGUGAUUCAUCACAUCACGAUGAAUACGUCCCUGCCCUUUGUACACACCGCCCGUCGCUCCUACCGACUGGGUGUGCUGGUGAAAUGUUCGGAUCGGCCGUUUGUCGCGGUUUCCGCGUCAUGUGGCUGAGAAGUUCAUUAAACCCUCCCACCUAGAGGAAGGAGAAGUCGUAACA
rnacentral:rRNA from 1 species